GAUCCUGGCUCAGGAUGAACGCUGGCGGCGUGCUUAACACAUGCAAGUCGAGCGAAGCACUUUUGCGGAUUUCUUCGGAUUGAAGCAAUUGUGACUGAGCGGCGGACGGGUGAGUAACGCGUGGGUAACCUGCCUCAUACAGGGGGAUAACAGUUGGAAACGGCUGCUAAUACCGCAUAAGCGCACAGUACCGCAUGGUACCGUGUGAAAAACUCCGGUGGUAUGAGAUGGACCCGNGU
rnacentral:rRNA from 1 species